AUGGUGGCCAUGGCGUUCGGCCCUCUGGCCGCGCGACGAUACGGCCCGGACAUGACGCUGCGGGAGGCGCUCGACGGCCGCGAUGACCCCUAUCGGACGCUCCUCCGAGAGGCCACGGCGGCGCUCCUCAAUGCCUACUACAACGUGCCGGGGUCGCCCUUCCUGUACCCGAGCACCGCCAGUGUCAUCGACCACCUCAUCGAUGCGGCUGACGUCGGCGUCCAUGUGCGGGCGGCGCUUGCGCGCGAGGAUGGCGUGGGAGGGGGCGCAGGCGUCGAGGCCGUAAAGGCGGACGCGCAGGCUGGCGGUGGCGGUGGCGAGGGCGAGGGGGCGGCGGCCGGGUGCAGAGGGUGGAGCUGGCGGUGGAGGAGGGAUGUGGAUCUUUAUCGGGAGAUUAGGAAGGGAAAAUGA
rnacentral:rRNA from 1 species